CAGCUUUGGGAAGAGGACUGGUAAUGAUAGAGACUGGUUCAGGUGGAAUUCUGAACUUAGGGUGGUUUCAUCACUACUGUGUCCCUGUGGAAGGGAGUACAUGGCAGUUCAGCCAUGAGAGCUUGUGCUUCACUGACUCUGUGCUGAUAUGAUGGCUAUGAGAAAGGCAGUCUUGAUGGAGCAAGUCUUCCCACAGGAGGGUUUCUGACACUAGAAGGAUCUCCUGGACCUGCAGGGAGCAGUCUCCAUCAGUCCUCUUGAACCUUCCAACAUCCAGGCCAUCAGAGGCAGAAACCACAGGUCCAGGUUCAAUACCAGCCCCUGGUUCUGUAAUUGCACGUUGAGGCCUUUGGCGUGGCCUGCCUGCUGUGCUGGAAGAUGCAGCCUUGAUCACUAAAGGGGUCUGAGCUUGGCUCUUCUGCAUCCAAUGCCACUCUCAUAGCUUGCUCCAGAAGACAGAGAUUCAGCCUCAUAUCCCUUGACGUGUGGGUUCCUGCAGGGAGGACAGGCAGACCAAGUCCUUGCUUGGGAUGCGAGGCUCUCCCCAGCAGAACAGGUUCCGAGGAAUCUCGCCAUCGCAGGAGGGGUGGGGCUAGAAGGCAGCAUGUUUUGAGUCUGUACAGGGGGCCUGUCUCUAUGGGCAGGGUGUACAGGGGAUCUGUAGUUUGACAAGCACUAAGAACAGAGUAGGCCAAUAGCAAUAAAGAAUGAAGGUGGUUCUGAAGAAUCUCAGAAGAUCGGAAGGAGUUUUUUGAUAAGUUUAGCUGGAGUGAAAGACUAGUGGGUUGGACACCAUCUAGGCUCAGUCUCGCAGCCAUGGGUGGGAAGAAGGAAUUGAGGGAGGGUUGCGGUUGCCUGUCCUUUCUGACCUGGCAGGGGAGCACGAGGAGACACAGGGCACAUGUUUGUCCCUGCCAGGUACUGCAAUCCAAAAGAAUCCAAUCUCAUGCAUGUGAGAUGCAUGCACACCUACAGUGGAUCCUCACCGACGUACACAAUGGAGAACACUACAGGAGUGCAAUGUGACAGAGUUAAUGCUGGCAACGGCCCCAGAAGGUGAAGAGGCCAAGGGAUCACAGCUACGUAGAGGCAAGAGGGGAAGAGCAGGGAUGGAGUGCACGUCACAGGAGGAUCGGGGAGGAGCUCCGCACCACUGGGGAGCAGCCAGGGAAGAAGAGCCAAGCCCCAGAAGCAAAGUCUGUGGAAAAGAAGAGCAGUGGCAGCCCAGGUCCCAGUUCGCAUCAGCCCCACAACCUGGGCUGCAGUCCCAGACACUCACCUGUUUAGCUGCUAUCUCUUCAUCGCGCCCAUCUCCGAUCACCACAUAUGUUACUUUCUUUCCAAAUCGUGACACAAUCCUCUCAAAACAGCUCUCUUUACCUGCCAAAACACACCCCAAUGGUGAAUGCUCAUGGGAGCAGCACUACCCACCCCAGCACAGGCCCACCCUUCUUGGCCAAGGGAAAACUCUCGUUUGGUUCCUUUCACAAGGCUACCAUCUCCUCGGCAAGGACAGAACACCUGCUUUGCACUCUACUGGUACAAGCUGUUCCUAUUCACAUGAGCAGCUGGAGAGAGCCAGGCAUCAGGGAUUUCUCAUUUGCACAGUGUCCUGAUUUCCUAUCCCAGGAUAGAGAGAGAGUCAUUUUCAAAGCACACAAUACAAAUGCUGGCUCCAUCUCUGAUGAGGGAGCCCCAGUCCAUGUCUUUUUCAAAUCCAGUACUGGGCUGUCUAGAAGGAUGAGCUCACAGUCACUGCAGACUAGGAGAGUUGGGCACCAAGGAGAGAUUUGUCUGUGUCUGCCACUCCCUCCCCAGGGACUGGCUGGAAACACUGAGCAACUAUAGAUCUAGCUCCAGUGACAAGAUGGGCCCAUCUGCCAUAUCCAGGCCAUUUGAGGGGUGCAAGCCAAGGGGUUCCCCAACAGGACUGCUAGCCAGUUCAGACAUCACAAAGCAACUACACCAUUCCCAAGAGGGUGCAGUACACUCCCCCACCCAGCUGGCUCUACUGUCCGGUGCUGAGGAGGGUAAAGUCAUGGCCUUGCCCUCACACUCUGUCAGGUAUCUCGCUCCCAGAGGCAUGCCAGCAGGGCCUGUGCUCUCCAUGGGAUUCUGGCCAGCACCAGGGCCCUCCCUUCUCCUGCACAUCCCAACACAGGGCUUGACCAAAACUGGAGCUUGAGAGGGACAGUGGGACUCUGCCAAUUGAGCAAAGCUUCUUUCAAGUCCCUUUAGCAAUGGCUGUCUGCUGCAGCACUAUACGCCAGGUGGCUGCAGACUCUCUUUAUUUCCUAAAGAGAUUUUACUGAAGAGUCUUAAAUCUCAAAUAUCUACUGAUAAGAAUGUGUUAAAACAAGCUGAAUACUUCAGGAGCUGUACUGAAGCCAUAUUCUGUGCUGUCUGUGGAGUGCCCAACGACAAGGAUGAGGGCAGAAGUCCUCAAUUGGCAGUCUUGGGCAGUGCUGUUCAAAAACUUAGCUGCGUUACUGGGGACUUGUCUACAUUAGGGUUUUUUGCAUCAGGGCAGCUACCCGAGUGCCAAACUGGCAUGGAUGUUCUGCACCAGUGUAAAGUGGGGUUUAUCCCAGGAUAAGCUGUGAAGGUACAAGCCCUGUGCAGUCCAUCCACACUGGCGAUGUAGCAACAGUCCUAAAAUCCCUGACAUAGUUGAGCCCUGGCUCUCCCUCUAGAGGCCCCAGCCAGCACUCCCUAACAGGCACCCCUGGCAACAGCGGAGUGCUGUUUGGAGCAAUAACCAUACCUAUUUUUGUAGCACUAUAAAUAUUUUCAAUGGGGAACACUUCUCCCAAGCCGUACAAGAGAACUUUGGCGAGAGCUGGCACCAGCUGUGUUGUCGUGAUCAGGACAUUCACACAAUUUUUUCUAAAGGGUAAAAGAAGAAACAAUGAAAAACAGCCAUGGCAGAGGAUGCAGGGGCUGGCUCUGGACAGCUGGCUUAGGCAACCAUAGCAGGGGCCAUGUGCUCUGCUGGACACUGCUGUACCUUUCA